rnacentral:lncRNA from 1 species
AGAAAGAGAUGUAUUUAUUACAAGUCCUGAUAGUACUCAAAGUGCAUAACUUAUUACAAUAAUUGGAAGGGUGAAGCCUUUCCAUAAGAUAUAUACAUAAACAUUCUAAGCUUCAAGUCAUCCACAAGAAGUAACUAACCCAAAGAUAAGGGAAUAAACCUUCUCCUACAAAAACAACAAGGGAUAAAACCCUGAGUACGCAAUUACUCAGCAAGACUUACCCGACUAAAGAAAAGACUCUCAAGGGUAUGCUGGCUUUUGGGAAUCAAGGUAAAGUUCAUCAAAGUUCAAGGACUCAUUUUGUAGAAAAGCUUACUAGAAGUGGGUCCUUAAGCCAAGUUUUAUUUCACAAGUUAGUUUAUUACCUGAAUCUUCUAGCCUGAAUCUAGCAUUUUCCUAAUCUAGAUCAUUCACUUGACCUACACUAGGUUCCUUUUAAAAUCCAAAUUUUUGUUUCGCUUGUUAUCUACGAUGAAGGGCAGCGAUCCAGUCUUCAUAUCCGAGAAGUAACGGCGAUCCGAAUCGAUUAAUACCCAGUUGGGGAUCUCCAACCACACGACAUAUGCCUCCCUUAACUGUUUUGCACAUGUCUACCCUUCCCAUGGAUCCUCCACCACAUGAACAGGUCCGCGCCACCCGAGAGCGCACCACCCCUUUUAGGCGGUCCUUUGCGAGGAGGGUACGUGUCACUCUCGCCAUCUCUCCACUCCCAGUGCGUGAUUGUCUUUUCAUGUAUGGAAUAGCCGGGUUCAGGCUUGCUCAUGACGAGGUAUGUGGCCAGAUAAAAGGUCCUAGAUCAUCAGGCCAACAAUCGGUACAGUCCUUAAUCGACACAGACGAGCGACCUUUCCUACUCAACGUCUGGUCCCAUUUUAAACUAUUUCAAAACUUUGGCGCCUGACAGAGGGGCCAUGCUUGGAUAAUGAAUUUAUCAACGUCUUGAUGCCUUCAUUAUCCCAAGCCCAUUUUCUUUUUGUAAAAAGAUGAGUCACAGAUCAAAAAAUAUUUUUCUUAGUCUAUCAGCAUGACUAAGCAUCUCUAGUUUUUAUAAAACAGGUGACAAGGUGUGGUAAUCAACCUUUCAAGGAUGUUAAUGCAUCAAGAGUUUAAUCAAUCAACUUCUAUAACCUAAUGCAGCAUAUAAGUGAUAAAAAUUUUGUAAGCACAAGGAAGGUGGCAAAUGCACCGGGGCUUGCCUUAUUGUAGGAGAAGAUCCCAAAAUUAUUCUACUAUGGUAAGUAGUUAGAUGAAACUCCACCACUGGAUCAACAGGCACUGAAGUGAACUCUUUCUUCAAACAUCACUUCUUCUAGGUGUUCUACAAGUCAAUUACAUGUAGAUGAAUGCUUGCUAUGGUAUGAAAAUGCAUUUCAAAAAGAAGGUAACAAACAACACAUCAUGAGUACACUUUUCUACAAAGUGCACGAAACUAGCCAAAACACAAGAGGAUUUUCAAGGGCACUUCAAGACAUCUUCACUUACAAAUCUCCAGGGAACUAAUCCAUGUUAGACUUAAUCCAAAACUUAAACCUUCUUAAGCAACUUUAUUGCUUAAUUACCCAAGGGUGAAAUCCUUUACUGAGCAAAUCACUUCUAACAAAUUCAAACUUGAACCAAGUGCUCAACUGGUCAAUACAAGGUUGCCCAAAAAUUUUCAUAAUUUUUUGAACACAACUUUUAUUUCUAAAAAUCAAAUAGUUCUUCUAAAAGCAUUUGUUAUUCCCUGAAAUUUGGUGUAUGCUGUAAAAACCCUAAAUCUAUUUUAAUAGGAAGUAUAUGAUUUUACACACCUUAAUCGAGGAACCACGAGGAGACCGGUCGAUGGAGAACUGCGAUGCGACGAUGUUCACUGGCAGCGAGCCCUCCGUUUCAAUAACCGUGAAAAAACUUGGCCACGGUGAGGAGAAGAAUCGGACAGCAUGGUCACCACUAUUGUCAAUACUACGGUGACGUUGUGACGACGACCUAGUGUGGUCGAGCUGUGAGUCGACGGCGCGGCAUAACAAGUGGAGCACACGGCGAUGCGAGGUUGAACGCAGGAUCAAUGGCCUACGACCAACAACAAGUGUCGAGACGACGUGCGUGAACCUUAGGGGGUUUUGCAGUGUGGACUACGAGGCAGGACGUCGGUGAGCUGUAGGACGACGUCAUCGAGGUGAAGAACAUCGGCGAGGUGGGCCGUGAGCAGUGGUCGGCACGACGAACGGGAGGAACAGAGAUUCACCGGCGCUAAAGCGAGGCGAUGCAAUUUGGAGAUGAGACUGGACCUCCACCGGCGAUGUUGCAGAUUGGGGAUAGGUACCAGGUGCAAGGAACACGGAGAGCGAAAGCUGGGAGAGGAGAGCGCGCUGUACG